rnacentral:lncRNA from 1 species
CGCACAAAGAGAGAGAUAGAGAGAGAGAGAGAGCAGAGAAGCACGGAGAGGGCGAGUAUGAACAAACUGGGAUACGGGCAUGAAGAGCCCAGUAGAGAACAGCUCCAGGCAAAAAACACCACUCCGCUUUUCCAUAUCCCACUGCCGUUUCCUUCAUACUCCUAAGUCGUUUCGUCUUGGUCUUUUAAUACUAUAUGAUCAUUAUUCCUCCACCACCGCCACCGCAACCACCGCCACCACCAUCAUUAACCAACAGGUUUUUGUACUGUCCUGUCCUGACUACUAGUACUGAUCAUCGUUAUAUCCAUCGUCGACCAGGGAGGCAGCAGUGGACAAAUUAGUCUGUACCUUCCCCACCCACACAAAAAUUAUAACAAGCACUCUCUCUCUCUCUUCCGUUACCAUUCCGUAUAAGCGUGAACAGUGUGUGCAGUGCAGGUCAUAUUAUACCCAGCUCACCAAAACACACAGCCUGUCCUUCUCUUCCUAUGACACUUCAUCCCUUCCCAACUCACUCCCACCACCAUUAUUCUAAUCUCAAUUUCAAUUUAUAUUCUUACAUCUCUCGUUUCCACUUGUUACCGCCGGUCAACCACCUCUGCCCUACCACUCCUUCCCAUCAUCAUCCUCUCCCCCACAACAAGCCCCGCCGCUGGGCCCACAUGGCCUCCGGCCCCACCACCCCACGCCAACGACAACAGCAACAACAGCGCAAGGACAAGCUUCUCAUUAUCAUGGGCGCCACAGGCGCUGGCAAGUCCCGCCUCUCCCUCGACCUCGCCACCCGCUUCCCUUCCUUCGAAAUCGUCAACUCCGACAAAAUGCAACUCUACGCCGGCCUCGACAUCACCACCAACAAGCUUCCCAUCCCCGACCGCCUCGGCGUCCCCCACCAUCUCCUCGGCGAGUUCGACCCUCGCCACGGCGAUUUUACUCCCUCCCAAUUCCGCGCAGUCGCCGGUCAAGCCAUUUCCAGCAUUACGAAUCGAAGGAAGGUGCCGAUGCUCGUCGGCGGCUCCAACUCCUUCAUUCAUGCGCUCCUCGUGGACCGGUUCGAACCGGGCUCCAAUGUCUUCGAACCGGGUUUCAAUGGCUCUGUCUCUUCCGAGCUCAGGUAUAAUUGCUGUUUUCUGUGGGUGGACGUGUCGUUGGCGGUCUUGACGGAGUACUUGUGCAAGCGAGUGGACGAAAUGCUCGACUCUGGGAUGUUGGACGAGUUGGCCGAGUUCUGCGACCCGGAUCGCCAGGACGAAGACGAAUCGACGGCGAGUCAGACAGCGUUGAGAAAGGCGAUUGGGGUUCCCGAGUUCACUAGGUAUUUUAAAAGGUAUCCACCGCAGGGGAGAGGCGGGGAGGGUGAUGAUCGGGAGCGGAGGGGAGCAUACGAAGAGGCGGUGAGGGCGAUCAAGGACAACACGUGUCAGCUGGCGAAGAGGCAGAUAGGUAAGAUCCUACGGCUGAAGGGAGGAGGGUGGGAACUACAGAGGCUAGAUGCAACGGACGCAUUUAGGGCGGUGGUUGCGACGACGUCGUCGGAUGAGGACGACGGAAAGAGGUGGUCAGAGAUAUGGGAGAGGCAGGUUGUCAAAACGAGCGUGAAGGUUGUGAAGCGCUUCUUGGAGGAGUAGGUCUUCCAGCUUUUUCCAGCUAUACACCUAUUUUUUAAAAAAAAUUCCUCCGAGUUUUUAGUUUGUUAACAAUUUUGGGGAAAGAUUCCUC